rnacentral:rRNA from 1 species
CAGUCGCCGCGGUAAUACGGAGGGUGCAAGCGUUAUCCGGAUUUAUUGGGUUUAAAGGGUCCGUAGGCGGAUCUGUAAGUCAGUGGUGAAAUCUCACAGCUUAACUGUGAAACUGCCAUUGAUACUGCAGGUCUUGAGUAAAUUUGAAGUGGCUGGAAUAAGUAGUGUAGCGGUAAAAUGCAUAGAUAUUACUUAGAACACCAAUUGCGAAGGCAGGUCACUAAGAUUUAACUGACGCUGAUGGACGAAAGCGUGGGGAGCGAACAGGAUUAGAGACCCCUGUAGUCCCUGUCUCUUAUAC